ensembl:snRNA U6 U6 spliceosomal RNA
GUGCUUGCUUUAGUAGCACAUACAUUAAAAUUGGAAUAAUACAGAGAAGGUUAGCACGACCCCGAUGCAAAGAUGACAAAACAAAGACAAAACCAUAGAUAGUUAAU